AUCACGGUAACAAAAUGCAAAAGA
rnacentral:snRNA from 1 species